GGGCCUAUAGCUCAGUCGGUUAGAGCGCUACACUGAUAAUGUAGAGGUCGAUGGUUCGAGUCCAUCUAGGCCCAC
rnacentral:tRNA from 1 species